UGCCAGCAGCCGCGGUAAUGCGGAGGGGGUUAGCGUUGUUCGGAAUUACUGGGCGUAAAGCGCACGUAGGCGGAUUAGUAAGUUAGGGGUGAAAUCCCGGGGCUCAACCCCGGAACUGCCUCUAAUACUGCAAGGCUUGAGUACUGGAGGGGGUGGUGGAAUUCCCGGUGUAGAGGUGAAAUUCGUAGAUAUCGGGAGGAAUACCGGUGGCGAAGGCGACCACCUGGCCAGAUACUGACGCUGAGGUGCGAAAGCGCGGGGAGCAAACAGGAUUAGAUA
rnacentral:rRNA from 1 species